AGCUCCAAUAGCGUAUAUUAAAGUUGCUGCAGUUAAAAAGCUCGUAGUUGGAUUUCUGGCUUGACUCGCCUGGCCCGCCACGGUGACGUGUGUGAGUGCUGGGUCGAAUCGGCCAUCCUUCGUUUAUGGCUAGUUGUUCUUUAUUGAGCAGUUAGUUCGUGAACGAUCGUUUACUUUGAAAAAAUUAGAGUGUUUCAAGCAGGCUUUAGCUUUGAAUACAUGAGCAUGGAAUAAUAAAGUAGGACUUCGGUUCUAGUUUGUUGGUUUGGAGAGCUGAAGUAAUGAUGGAUAGGGACAGUUGGGGGUGCUAGUAUUCAGCGGCCAGAGGUGAAAUUCUUGGAUUCGCUGAAGACUCACUACGGCGAAAGCAUUCACCAAGGAUGUCUUCU
rnacentral:rRNA from 2 species